UGCUUGUAUCUGUACUGGAGUCACAUUUUAUGUACAAUGUAACAGCAGAGUAAUCAGCAAGUAAAGUUUCAUGUAUGCCUAUAAGCAUUAUUAAUUAGGUUGUUCCCUGUUUCUUAACUGCUACCAUUAAAUGUUGCACUCUGGACAUGAAGGCCAGAACAAAUACAUAAUGCCUUAGACUUUACAAUGUAUUUACUGCUACUCAUUUAAUAACUAAUGUAAAGUGAACAAGAUAAAGGCAAACAAACACAUUCUGUUAUUAAGUCAGUUUACCUGUUGGCUUAAUGGUAAACCAUUAAAUUGAAGGGUGUUGACACACAAAUAAUCAAGCUUGCAAAAGCUAAAAUAUAUUUUAUUUCUGCGGUAUUGGCUGGUGGAUAACUGGCUUAAGUUGGAGUGGGGCCUCAACAAAAAUUCUGCUCAGGACCCCAUGCCUUCUUGAGAUUGUUAAUAUCUUUACUCUGUUCUGGAAAGAUACAAGCAUUAGCCCACUCCAUUAAACAUACUAAGAUGGGGGAAAAACAGAACAUGAGAUCAGCUUUUAAAAAUCAUGACAUCUCUAAUUUGCAAGCGGAAGAGCGAUCACCAACACCAUGCUGUAAAUAAUCUCUUCCAUUUAGCUGUAGUUAAUGCACAAAGUGGAGUGGCAGUGGAUUGCUUCCCUGGAUGAAUAUGUGAGAUGAUAUUAUCAAUGGUGUGUAACCAAUUUUUUUUUUAUGCUUUUAAUACAUUGUAAGUGUGCUCUGUGAUUUCUGUUAGGAAAUAACCACUUAAGUGCCUAAUUUCCUAGCACUUAAGUGGUCAUUAUAAUACAAAACUUCGGUAUCUUUUGUUCUAGCAUGAUGAUAAUAAUGGAAACAUCAAUGCUAAUUGGUCAGAUUUUACAUUAGUUUUCUUUUUGUUGAUUCAAACACAUUUUUAUUCUAUAUGUACAUUUUUAAAUAAAUCUAGAGAAACUGUUGGGGAUAGGAGGCUAGAAAGACCUGGCCGGGACCAAAGAAUCUCGAUACUACCGCACUUCUGCCAGUGAACAGGGGGAUUUUUCAGAUCCUCUGUGGGGCUAAGAUGCCAGUUAACUUGGCACUAUCCAACUUACUUAAACAACAACUGGACAGAUUGCAGCCAGUAGUCGGUAAGAGAAGAGAUAUUUGGAGGAUGUCUGCAGUGGGGGCUCCUUGCCAAAGCCCAGUCAAUGUUGGAAUAGCCCCAGUAUUAAGUUUAUUGUUUUAAUACAGCCCGUAUUCCUGCCUCCCUGUGUUUGGCAUGCACGUACACAAACUGUUUUUGGAGGUCUGUCAAAUUAGUGAACUUUCAUUAUAGUUAGUAUCUUACUUUACAAAUUACAAACUAAACUUGUCAUUUGGAUAUUUUAAAUCAGGGCUGCACAGUGGAGUAGUUUUUAGUUUGUUAGCUUUGUUACAGGAAGGUUGCAGGUGCAAACUUUUUUCUGUGAGACCUUUGUAUUUUCUCAGUAUGCAUGUAAGCAUGUAUUUUCUAAUAAUAACUCGGUUGCUUCAAAUAGGGCAAAAUUAAGUUCCGUGUUAUUGGUCCCUCUAAAUUGCCCUUAGUGUACAUGUAUGGUUGGUUGCCCUGUGAUGAAUUUGCAAACUUUCCAGGGUGUUCACCACCUCUUGUCCACUGACCACAGGAUACAGCAGGUAUAGGAAAUGGGUUAAUGGGUAUUUUGAUCAUACAAAAAGUGCAUUGGCAUACUUUUAUAAUCAUCUUCUAAAAACCCAGAAUUAAAUCAUUAGCUAUAUAAUGCAGAAAAUGUACACUAUUUUCAGAAAGUGGUAUAUUUGUAAAUAAUAAACCUUUAAAUGAAUAGAACUAACUAUUAUACAGUAGUUUUUAAUUUCCUGUUGUUAGAUUUUCUGAAUAGAGAGGACAUGUCAGCUUUUUGGAGGGAACUUCUUGCUGACAUCAGCAUUAACCUUUUCUUUCUGUAAAUAUCCUUUGAUACAAGUGUGUUUGGAAAAUAUGUAGGUAAUUUCUGUCCCAUGUCUAUUUGUAUCUCAAAUACACAGAGUUACGUUAGACCCCAAAGAUUGUUUUCCUCCCUGCAAUAGUGGUACAGAGUGGCACUGUCCAAAGUACCAAAGGAAGGCUGACAGGCAUGAAGGAGAAAGUUAUUAUCAGUUGAAAGGCAUAUUACGAUUUUCUUUGUUUUAAAAGAAAUUAUUUUGCAAGGUUACACUGAGUAAAUAUUAAAUCAUUUCAAGUCCCCUUGAAAAUCAUAUUUGUUUAGUUGUGAUAGUGCCAUUAUUCACAAGCUCUGGUGGUUAGCUCAAGCUAAACAAAGAAUCAUGAGAUCAGCUAAGAUAUUGUUAGCUGGGUACAUACAGUACUGAUCCAGUCUACAUACUGAUCCAGUCACAUAAAUCCGCUCAGAUAUAUUGAAUAAUUAGUUGAUCAUUGCCUUUUUCAAACCUUUUAUAAGUUGUGUAACAAAUUGCAAAAAAUCUCUCUGAUCAACUAAUUCCUUUAAUAAAUGCAUUGAAAGUCUAAAACAGCUCUGCUAAACUUUAUACUUGUGGCCAUUAACAAUUUCAGUUACUUUAUAUAGUUUUCAUAAAGUUUGCAUGUUCUCCUUGUAAAUCUUGUGUUCUCUCCGGAUUCUCCGGCUUCCACCAGCAGUCCAAAAACAUGCAGGUUAAUUCUCAAUUCAGGCAACAGCCCAGUGCAAUUCUUCAAAAAUACGGGGGGUCUAGACAAUGGAUGGACGGAUGACAUAGAGACCCAUUUCUCUUAGUCACAAUAUUGGAAGGACAAACAAAUUAGGCAGAUGUUUGUUCAUCUUCAUUAAUCAGAAAAUCACUACAAGAAAGUAUUUGCUUAAACUUCAGCCAGAACAAUAAUUAAAACUGGAACUAUCACAAACCAGGUUGGACAAUAACCCUGGUUUAUCUUGCCACCACACAGAGUGAGGAUGAUAAUAACAAAGGUAACAAAAUCUCAGAAUUAAAAGACACUAAAGUAUAUCAUUGUAAACUUUUGCACCUCAGGAACAAGAAUGGACUCAGAAAAUCACAGAUAACUGAUGUGAUUAAAUGAUGAUGAAUAUUUACUUCCAGCUUAAACCAAGCUGUGCAUCAGAAGCACAGUCUGAAUGGCUCGGAGAGGCAGUUGAAAGAUGGAUUGAGAUGAGUAAUUGUUUAAGGCAAUAAAAUUUAAUGUUCAGCAGAUCGAAGGGAUAUAUAAAAAGCUAAUUCUGCUUAACAGAAUUAGGGCAUAAAACAUCUAAUAGGAAAAAAAAAGCAACAAGUGACACUCAAAGACACUCAUAAUGUAGCGAAGAGGCACCAGAUGCAUGAGCAGAACUCCAUCAAACAUAGAACAAAUAAUUAUAAUUUAAUUAGGAAAUCUGGUUGGUUCUAUAACUAAAUCUGUCAGGAUCUGGGUUGUGUUUGUGUGUUUUGUGCUUGCAACUUGUGUCUCAGUGUUUCCAGACUGUGCUGAAGUUCUCAGAUGUCCUGGGUGACAGGUGCGACUUAUCCUGCUGAUUGCUUGGUGGAGUAUUUAAGCAGGAGGCUGCCAGUACUUCGACGCCAGAGUGUUUGCCUUCUGUGACCAAGUACCAGGACCUUUUGGAAUUAUGUCUUUGAACCACGGACUCUGUGAGUUAAGUGUUUCCUGGUUAAACUUCGUUUUGUGGAUUUCGUUCUCUACUUCGUUUUCGUCUGGAUCUUCGACCAAGCUGGCAGUUUUCUGCAACCUUCAUCUCCUGGACCAAGAACUAAGGGUAACCUGUCCACCCUCCACCGCAAGUAUCAGCACAAGGAAACAACCUCACCUUUUCACCAAGCACAAUUAAAUCACAACCAAGUAAUCAACUAAGUAGACUGGACUUCAACAACCCGAAUCCCUCUAUCCCUGGUGACCUGACCACAUCCAUUCAGUAAGCCAUUUAUGUUUCCUUCCCGAAAUUUCUUGUUUAUUGCCAUCUACGUCUGUUCCCUGUAUUUACCAGUUCUCUUCACCUCUUCCCCAACAGUUGGAGUUUCGCCUGUUUUCGUUCCAUAUUCAUUUUGUUCCCAAAUAAACAACCUUUAUUACUUUUCA